GACGAACCGUGCGAACGUUGUUCGGAUUCACUGGGCUUAAAGGGCGCGUAGGCGGGUGAUCAAGUCCGGGGUGAAAUCCUUCAGCUCAACUGGAGAAUAGCCUUGGAUACUGGUCGCCUCGAGGGAGGUAGGGGCAUGCGGAACUUCCGGUGGAGCGGUGAAAUGCGUAGAUAUCGGAAGGAACGCCGGUGGCGAAAGCGGCGUGCUGGACCUCUUCUGACGCUGAGGCGCGAAAGCCAGGGGAGCGAACGGG
rnacentral:rRNA from 1 species